GACGAACGCUGGCGGCGUGCCUAACACAUGCAAGUCGAGCGAAUGAAGUUCCUUCGGGAAUGGAUUUAGCGGCGGACGGGUGAGUAACACGUGGGCAACCUGCCUCAUAGAGGGGAAUAGCCUUCCGAAAGGGAGAUUAAUACCGCAUAAGAUUGUAGUAUCGCAUGAUACAGCAAUUAAAGGAGCAAUCCGCUAUGAGAUGGGCCCGCGGCGCAUUAGCUAGUUGGUGAGGUAACGGCUCACCAAGGCGACGAUGCGUAGCCGACCUGAGAGGGUGAUCGGCCACAUUGGGACUGCGACACGGCCCAGACUCCUACGGGAGGCAGCAGUGGGGAAUAUUGCACAAUGGGGGAAACCCUGAUGCAGCAACGCCGCGUGAGUGAUGACGGCCUUCGGGUUGUAAAGCUCUGUCUUCAGGGACGAUAAUGACGGUACCUGAGGAGGAAGCCACGGCUAACUACGUG
rnacentral:rRNA from 1 species